rnacentral:rRNA from 1 species
UACGGAGGGGGCAAGCGUUAUCCGGAUUUACUGGGUUUAAAGGGUGCGCAGGCGGAUAUGUAAGUCAGUGGUGAAAUCUCCGGGCUUAACCCGGAAACUGCCGUUGAUACUAUAUAUCUUGAAUGCUGUGGAGGUAAGCAGAAUAUGUCAUGUAGCGGUGAAAUGCUUAGAGAUGACAUAGAAUACCUAUUGCGAAGGCAGCUUACUACGCAGAUAUUGACGCUCAUGCACGAAAGCGUGGGGAUCAAACAGG